CAACACAAUAAUAACACAAGGUUCUCUCCAUAGCAGCAUGACACAUCAGAUUUUUAAAUGUCUGAGAGAUUGACAUGUCAUUAACUGAAAAAGUUGUAAAGCCAAUGAAAAUAUUUUGUUUCUCCAGGUCAUAUUUGUUUUGUCUUGUGCUUAUAGAAAAUCUUAAGGACGUCGGGGAUUUUGACAGUCGCCGCCUCCAAAUCAUACGCCGCCUUUGUACAACUUCUUAGCUUGGUUUAUCAAUUUUCUAGAUUCCCAAUCUCGACAGCUCCGACUCCAAAUCAUACGCCGACUCGAAGAUAACGUAAACCCCCUUGCUCUCAACGAAGCUUGGCGUGGAUCUCGACAAAAACGAUGGAAGCUCCGAUUUCCAGACCUGGGUUGUACACGACAGAAGAAAAAGCCGUCCUUUAGAGACUUCCUCUGUCGAAAGCUCUGAUUGUAGAGAUUCCUUUAAAGUACCCAUCGUUUAUAGAUUAAGAAAGUUUGGCCCUUGAUCUUGAUUUUAGGAUAUAAGUGUAUUGCUGGAAGUUGCUUUCAUCAUUCAUCAUUGAUGAUCGGGAUCGAGUAUACCGUAGAGUGAAAGGCGUGUUUGUACAGUUUCACCUCUCCCGGAGAUCCAAUGUACCCGACAAGGGCUGUUCGUCAUGCAGCCUGGGACGCUUUGGAUUCCCUCUUUCCGGUGAGGCGUUACCCGAGGCAUCUCAUCAGUCUAUUUUUCAGGCUGCUGUAUCCAUGGUACUGGCCAUCAUCGUGCUGGAACUUUGUGGUUUCUUGCAUUAAGGUGGUACUCUAUUCCAUCGUAAGGCUCAUCUUUUCACGCCAAGAAAAGCCAAGGCAGAGCUGAAUAGCUUCUACAUAUGAUUGAAGCUCGCUGCAGGAAUCCAAUCCUUGUGUAUAGAAUGUGGUUUUGAUCACAAUGAGGCACACCAAGAGAACUUUACAUAAGCCUCUCUGGUCACUUUCCUAUCCUCAGUAACCUUAUAACUCAUAUUACAAAUUGUAUUGUCAUGACUGGACACAACUUUUCGAGUGAAUACAUACAUAAAAAGUA